UACGGAGGGUGCAAGCGUUAUCCGGAUUCACUGGGUUUAAAGGGUGCGUAGGUGGGUCUGUAAGUCAGUGGUGAAAUCUCCAGGCUUAACUUGGAAACUGCCGUUGAUACUAUAGAUCUUGAAUGCUGUGGAGGUGAGCGGAAUAUGUCAUGUAGCGGUGAAAUGCUUAGAUAUGACAUAGAACACCAAUUGCGAAGGCAGCUCACUACCCAGAUAUUGACACUGAGGCACGAAAGCGUGGGGAUCAAACAGG
rnacentral:rRNA from 1 species